CCUACGGGCGGCAGCAGUGAGGAAUAUUGGUCAAUGGACGAGGGUCUGAACCAGCCAAGUAGCGUGAAGGAUGACUGCCCUAUGGGUUGUAAACUUCUUUUAUAUGGGAAUAAAACGUUCCACGUGUGGGAUUUUGUAUGUACCAUAUGAAUAAGGAUCGGCUAACUCCGUGCCAGCAGCCGCGGUAAUACGGAGGAUCCGAGCGUUAUCCGGAUUUAUUGGGUUUAAAGGGAGCGUAGGUGGAUUGUUAAGUCAGUUGUGAAAGUUUGCGGCUCAACCGUAAAAUUGCAGUUGAAACUGGCAGUCUUGAGUACAGUAGAGGUGGGCGGAAUUCGUGGUGUAGCGGUGAAAUGCUUAGAUAUCACGAAGAACUCCGAUUGCGAAGGCAGUUCACUGGACUGCAACUGACACUGAGGCUCGAAAGUGUGGGUAUCAAACAGGAUUAGAUACCCUGGUAGUC
rnacentral:rRNA from 1 species